GUCGAAAGGGCGUAGGUAUUCGGGGUUACAAAGCGUUACAAGCCAGGAGUGAAUAAGGAUAUAGACAAACACUAGGUAAAGUAGGAUUCUUUAAUUGAAUCUGCUUCUUGAGGCUCUCUCGUUCAUCUACUGAUCCCCUUUGGAAAUCCUCGACGAUUCAUCUGGCACGCUGCCAAUAUUCGGGCAGUUUGCGCCUCCGCCAUUGGCUCUGAUGUCGCUGCCAUUUUCGGACAAUCGCAGGAAAGCCCUUCUCAGUAUUAUACGCUUAUUUCGCUCUCUGCACACGUAACGCCAGGACACCCUGACUCCCAUUCUCCGCAUAUGUGCUUCCUUGCGCUUCAGAUAUGAAAUAGGUAUUCUUCCUUGCAAGGGAAAGCUGUUCUGAGGGUUAGCCUUGACUCGCCAAGUGACGUACAGUGUAGGAUAGGAUUAAGUAGUGGGAGAGAGAGAGAGAGAGAAAAAAAAUGAGAGAAAAGUAUACACGAGUCCUUCUUCCUCUUAUAUCCUUAGACAAACACCAGGAUGCCAAGGUACCGUACCUAUGACUUUCAGCACGGCUAUAUAUAAGGGAACGUGGGACCAGUGUCCACAAUAUCUCGCAUAUUGCUCGGACCUUCACUUGGAUCUAUAUUAGAACAAGGGCAAAGUAUUAUUAUACUAUGGCGUAGACAUGGCUUACCUUAUCAUCCUUCCUCGCAGGAAGGAUAUCCUCUACAAAGAUGUAUGCCCAGGAAUUGAAGCAAAAAGUGUCUGCCGGUUCACUGACGGAGAACAAAUAUCGGUACGUCGAGGAAUUAGAGAGAGAUGAUGAAGCGAGUUCGAGAAAGGGAAAGACCAGGACGGAGAUAACCUCAGGCUCAGUCCCUGUUCAAGAUCACAAUGGAGCCCUCACAGCUUACAUUGUCUUGACUUACGAAAGACCGGGGAUUGGGACACCUGAACAUUCUCACUGAUCACGGG